UGGGGAAUUUUGGACAAUGGGCGAAAGCCUGAUCCAGCAAUGCCGCGUGUGUGAAGAAGGCCUUCGGGUUGUAAAGCACUUUUGUCCGGAAAGAAAUCCUUGGCUCUAAUACAGUCGGGGGAUGACGGUACCGGAAGAAUAAGCACCGGCUAACUACGUGCCAGCAGCCGCGGUAAUACGUAGGGUGCAAGCGUUAAUCGGAAUUACUGGGCGUAAAGCGUGCGCAGGCGGUUUGCUAAGACCGAUGUGAAAUCCCCGGGCUCAACCUGGGAACUGCAUUGGUGACUGGCAGGCUAGGGUAUGGCAGAGGGGGGUAGAAUUCCACGUGUAGCAGUGAAAUGCGUAGAGAUGUGGAGGAAUACCGAUGGCGAAGGCAGCCCCCUGGGCCAAUACUGACGCUCAUGCACGAAAGCGUGGGGGAGCAAACAGGAUUAGAUACCCUGGUAGUCCACGCCCU
rnacentral:rRNA from 1 species